CGUUCCAGUUACAGAGUAUAUAGUUCAAUGAAAAAUAUAUACAGAUAUCUCCAAACAGGUGGAACAAUCCCUAACAUUACAGUUACUAGAAUCUGAUAACUUCCGCCAUUUUUUGGCAAAAAUCAGGCGUUCUCUCUCUUACACACGAGCCCAACGGAUUGCGGUACUUUCUAUAUUUAGUGACUUUAGGUAUUACAUCUAUAGCAAGCUUUUCCUUAGUUUGCGCACACGUCAGCGGUAUAUUAUGAAGUCAUCACUGAGUAUGUUUACAUAGCAUCAUGCAACCAAUGGAAGAGAAUAGCUGGCCAUACACAUAGAGGUUGAUCCGUCGCUGGUUUAAACUGCGACAGAUAAAUGUCAGUUUGAUGUGUCACUGUCAUGGUUAAAUCUGGUUGUCACUGUGGUACUUGAUACCUAGAGCUAAAGUACCUUUUAGAUAUCUGCAUGUCCUUUUCACAUUCCGCCAACCACUUUUAGCUGGGUUCUGCAGCUGUCUGGAUACUAGUCCUACAGCAAUGCUAUGUCUGGACAUGUUCCGACCAUGAGAUAAAAGCAUCUACUGCAUCUCUGUGUGGAAAAUCCUUCUGUACAGGAUUACAUAAUAUGAUGCAAAGGAAAGUGGAUGAUGUAGAUCCAUUAUGCAAAAGCGCUUCAGAAUCUUCUUCAUAUAGGAUUCUUGCUUUAUUGUAAUGGAUCCGUCAGCGUCGCCUACUUGCUCUAUCUCUAAACUUAAGUAGAAUGAUGCCGGUUUUUCAGUAAUCUUCAAUUUUUAUCUCAGAUCAGAUAAAAAGUCAUGUAUGAGUUUCUCAUCACUUGCUGCUAAAGACCAUCAACAAUCAGCGUCACUGUACUUAAAAUCCAUUUCAAGAAGGAUCUCUUUAGAGCAGCAGUUCCAGCACCUUGGUACUUGUUUCAAACGAUACAAGGUUUAGUGUAAUCAACAGACCUUUGAAGAUCAAUCACUUGUAUUUUCCUUCUAAAUUUCUGAUUUGAACUUUUGUCGAAAAUCUUUCCAUCUUGAACAUGUUACGUACCUUAUUACUUCUCCAGUCCUGGGCCCAUAACCUGUUCGCUUCACUUUUAGUGCAACAGUGAAAUUGGAGCGUGUAUAGAAUUAACUCAUCUCUUUGAAUGGACAUUCUAUUUUCUAAUGACAGCAUUGACAGCAGUAAAAACAUUUUUCAUAAUUUGUUUUAAACAAUAUGUCGAUGGUAUUAAGUCAUAAAACCAUAGUAACUAACUUUUACAUUAUUAAACCAUCAUCAAUGUAACCAGCUUUAAUAAUGAACGCCGAUAUACAUGCAACCAUUGAACGUGUGUUUUAACUAAAUGGAGUUUCGAAUCGCUGCUUGUGUGAAACUAUCAACAUCGCUAACAAGUUUCUUACAUUGGCUUGUUUUUUAGGACUUUCUAGAGGUUUGUCCAAUUUAGAAAUUUGUUAAAUAGGAGUUACCGUUCGCAGGGUAAUAUUUAACGCAUCUCUCUUACUGCUGCAAAUAAUAAAAGUGGACCACCAUUAUCUCUUUCUCGAAUAAAAUUAAUAUGUUGCUUACUUUUUCUUAGUUAACUCGAUUUGGGUUAUACCACUUUUGGCGCAGAAUAUCGCAGUGAGGCUUAUGGAAGAAAUGCUUCUAUAUUUUGAUCAUUAUGAAACUAAUGGAUUCUUUAUCGGCUAAUGUAGCAAAAUAUGAUAAUAUAAUGAAAAUGGUAGCAAACGUUUGUCAAAUUUCACGUGCCGCAAUGUAAACAUAAACUACUACAAUUUCGAUUGACAGGGCCAACUGUGAAUUUAAAUUUUGUUACUCACUUGGUGUUUUCAAGCAUUUUACAAACGACCAGAUGUACAAUACUCACGCUACUUAAUAAUCAUGUUUUGAUUUUUUUAUAAUAAUAAUAAUAUAUUUUAACCUUUUAGCUGUAGCUAUUUAACAAUAGAUGAGGCAAGUCAGUACAAAUACAUAUAGUAUAUAUAAAAUAACAACAGAUAAAACACGAAUGAGACAACAAUUUAGAAAUUAACUCAUUACAACAAAUACUACGUGCAUUCUUAUUACUUUUUGAAUCAAUGGUUCUGAAAAUGAUGUUUAAGGGUCGAUUCUACAAUGCAGGUAUAUACCGAGAAUAAACGUCAACGGUUAUGUUGGGUACCAUUGCCUCAACCAAUAGAAUAUAGGUUGCUAUGGCAGUUAUUCCAAGGAUAUCUUAUUCAGUGUAAAGAUGUAAUUGUAGAACCAGCCCUUAGACUCUCUUGGAUUAGAGUAAUUUUUGACAUUGUUCCAAUCAGUAUGUGCUACAUUUAACAAACUUCUUGAGUCAUUCCCACGAACUUAUAAAUUAAGAUGGACUGCUAAUGCUGAAUUGACAAAUGACACCUACAUGGGGGCAGCCAUGAUGUGCACUCACUUGGCGCGAAAUUCAAAUCAGCUAAUAAACCAGCAUUAACCUCUCGUUUUCUAAAUAAAUUACUCUGACACAUGUCAUUUUCCAAGGCUGCAAUAGUCUCAAAACUUGAGCACUAGGAAAAUUCCCCUAGAAAAUAACUAAAACGUGCACCUCAUGGCCGCGCCCAUGCUAGGGCCAUUUCUACCUCUAUGCAACUGUUUGAUCAGCAGUCCAUCUUAAUUUAUAAGUUCGUGGUCAUUCCUUUAACUUAACCUUUCAUAAUUUGAUACUGCAAAAACAAAAGAAAAUUUCCAAUGCUUGCUAUGUAAAUAGUCUAGCAUUUUUUGUAUCUUUAGAUAACCGAACCUCUCAUUGCAAAUGUUUCACAUUACGCAAAGAGGCUAGAAUAGCUUUGGGAUAUUACGGCAAAAUCGUCCUAGCCCUGUCCGUUCUUAGACUGUGUCCGUAAGGCAUUUCUGUUUGUAAACUGCCAGAAUCUGUGCGUGACUUUUGACGUAGAAUAUAUUCAAUAUGGUAUAUCUCAGGCUACCAUCAUGUGUGAUAAGUAAAUUGAAAUUUUAUUAAGGCAUUUAAGUAAUUACAUGUAUGCAUAUCGAUUGCGAGAUGUAUGGCCCGGACAAGUGUGAACUUAACUUUUUUGCGACUUUCUCAUGUUAGUUGGUUUGAAUUUAUUGGCAUAUUUAUACCUCCAAGUGGUCCUUAAGUCCUAUAGUAAGUUAUACAACUGAAAAACGGAAUUUGUCAUAUUUAAACUAAUUGAUUUAAUGUCGAAAGUUGUAUAAACGUAUAGGACUUUUGGCCUAUGACAUUCUACACAAUAAAGAGACAACAGGAGAAAUUUAUAAAUCACAGCCGUUUCUUUAUUAGUGUGGAAAGUGAAUGGCGUUUGUUGUGAUUUAACAAUUUAGGCAGGUGCACGUUAUACGUAUUAAUUUAACGACACGUGAUUGUAUUCCAUCUUAAUUUUAUUAUUAUUACUCGCUGAAUGCUUUUUAAUUGUUGCGUCUUUUUGAAUUUUAUACUUACUGUGAUAAUUUAGUCAGUUUUAAAUUCGUAGAUGUGCUUUUUUAUGUACAAAAGAAAAAAAAUGAAAUUUGUUACGAACUGAAAAAUGAUUAUGCAUGACAUUAUCAUAAAUGGUACAAGAAAAAGUAGAGGUAAUAUUUUGUAGUU